rnacentral:rRNA from 1 species
CGGUUGGGCGGACCCGGGCGCACGGGUGCGUAACGCGUAUGCAACCUACCCACUAACAGGGGGAUAACACUGAGAAAUUGGUACUAAUACCCCAUAACAUCAGGACCGGCAUCGGUUCUGGUUGAAAACUCCGGUGGUUAUAGAUGGGCAUGCGUUGUAUUAGCUGGUUGGUGAGGUAACGGCUCACCAAGGCAACGAUACAUAGGGGGACUGAGAGGUUAACCCCCCACAUUGGUACUGAGACACGGACCAA